UACGAAGGGGGCUAGCGUUGCUCGGAAUCACUGGGCGUAAAGGGUGCGUAGGCGGGUCUUAAGUCAGGGGUGAAAUCCUGGAGCUCAACUCCAGAACUGCCUUUGAUACUGGAGACCUUGAGUUCGGGAGAGGUGAGUGGAACUGCGAGUGUAGAGGUGAAAUUCGUAGAUAUUCGCAAGAACACCAGUGGCGAAGGCGGCUCACUGGCCCGGUACUGACGCUGAGGUGAGA
rnacentral:rRNA from 1 species